UGUGGUCACAUCACGUUAAAACACCGGUUUCCGUACGAUCACUGAAGUUAAGCAACGCCAACCUGUUCAGUAACUAGAUGGGUGACCGUUUAGGAGAUCCAGUUGCUGUAAG